rnacentral:misc_RNA from 1 species
AAGUCGUCACAAGGUUUCCGUAGGUGAACCUGCGGAAGGAUCAUUAACACGUAUCCAAACGUUAAAACCCCGCAAUCUCUGAUAAAUCAUAGCCCGGAAAGUUGUAGUGAUUCAGAGACCUCUGGCUACGUGCGAACAUUGGAACAGUUACAAUCGAGCGGUAGUUCUUUUGGCAAUGUUUCCCCAAGCAGUCAGAAGGUGUCAUUGAUUCCACUCGGGCAGGAGCUUUGCCAAAGGGUCCCCAUGCCCCCUAAUAACCCCACAGUUUAAUGUGAAGCUCAAUGUAAUAAAUUGGGUAAAAAAACCAAACAACUGUUAACAAUGGAUAUCUUGGUUCUC